UCCCUGGUGGCUCAGACGGUAAAGUGUCUGCCUACAAUGCAGGAAGCCUGGGUUCAAUCCCUGGGUUGGGAA
rnacentral:tRNA from 1 species